rnacentral:rRNA from 1 species
ACGGAGGGUGCAAGCGUUAAUCGGAAUAACUGGGCGUAAAGCGCGCGUAGGCGGUUUGGUCAGUCAGACGUGAAAGCCCACGGCUUAACCGGGGAACUGCGUUUGAUACUGCCAGACUUGAGUGUCGGAGAGGAUGGCGGAAUUCCGGGUGUAGGAGUGAAAUCCGUAGUUAUCAGGAGGAACACCAGUGGCGAAGGCGGCCACCUGGACGACAACUGACGCUGAGGAGCGAAAGCGUGGGGAGCAAACAG